GAUGAAGAACGUAGCGAAAUGCGAUAAGUAGUGUGAAUUGCAGAAUUCAGUGAAUCAUCGAAUCUUUGAACGCACAUUGUGCCCUUUGGUAUUCCUUAGGGCAUGCCUGUUCGAGCGUCAUCUAAACCUUCAAGCACUGCUUGGUGUUGGGUGCCUGUCCCGCCCCCGCGCGUGGACUCACCUCAAAUCCAUUGGCGGCCCUCACGUCGGCUACGAGCGCAGCAGAAACGCGAACUUGUGGACCCGGCGGAGUGGCUCCCAGAAGCUACAUUCACCAUUUUGACCUCGGAUCAGGUAGGGAUACCCGCUGAACUUAAGCAUAUCAAUAAGCGGAGGA
rnacentral:misc_RNA from 1 species